rnacentral:rRNA from 1 species
AACGCGAAGAACCUUACCAGCCCUUGACAUCCCGGUCGCGGAUCACAGAGAUGAGAUCCUUCAGUUCGGCUGGACCGGUGACAGGUGCUGCAUGGCUGUCGUCAGCUCGUGUCGUGAGAUGUUGGGUUAAGUCCCGCAACGAGCGCAACCCUCGCCCCUAGUUGCCAGCAUUCAGUUGGGCACUCUAGGGGGACUGCCGGUGAUAAGCCGCGAGGAAGGUGGGGAUGACGUCAAGUCCUCAUGGCCCUUACGGGCUGGGCUACACACGUGCUACAAUGGCGGUGACAGUGGGACGCGGAGGGGUGACCCCGAGCAAAUCUCAAAAAGCCGUCUCAGUUCAGAUUGCACUCUGCAACUCGAGUGCAUGAAGGUGGAAUCGCUAGUAAUCGUAGAUCAGCAUGCUACGGUGAAUACGUUCCCGGGCCUUGUACACACCGGAGUA